rnacentral:lncRNA from 1 species
AGGGAGAAUUGGAGACAAAGUUUGGGGACUUUGUAAAAUUAAGAAUAUAAAGAUUAUGAGGAAAGGAAUGUAAAUACAGAUAGUAAAGAAUAUAGAGUAAUUCUUUGUCCUUGAGUAUUUGAUAGAACAUUAGUUGGAAACCACUGGAUCUGAGCUACUUUAGAUGGAGGGGUAUUCCAGGAAUAUUCUGUUAAAUGUUCAACAACUGGGUCUCUGAAAAGAAAAAGCCCUGAUUUGUAGUGUUUGCCAAUUUCUGUGAUGUAAAUAUUUCCAUCAUGGGACAUUUCAAGCUACCAAUGUGAUGUCACUGAACACAGAAGUGUUACAUACGAUCCACUCUCCAGAGCUCAGCAUAUCACCAGGAUGAUAUGCUUGGCAAGGUGAGACAGUGCUCUGAAAGACAGUGGAGAAAGAACAGGACUGAGGACAACUGCCUCCCACAGGUCUGCAGAGGAUUGCACAUAAGGGUAUACAUGAAGAGCAAGAAUAAAAACCAGAAGUGCCAUUUUGGGAAGAGGGGUCCAGCAUCUAAAUCCACAGAACACAUCUGUCUGGAAAACAGAUAA